UACGUAGGGUGCGAGCGUUGUCCGGAAUUAUUGGGCGUAAAGGGCUCGUAGGCGGUUUGUCGCGUCGGAAGUGAAAACUCAGGGCUCAACCCUGAGCGUGCUUCCGAUACGGGCAGACUAGAGGUAUUCAGGGGAGAACGGAAUUCCUGGUGUAGCGGUGGAAUGCGCAGAUAUCAGGAGGAACACCGGUGGCGAAGGCGGUUCUCUGGGAAUUACCUGACGCUGAGGAGCGAAAGCAUGGGGAGCGAACAGG
rnacentral:rRNA from 1 species